UACGGAGGGUGCAAGCGUUAUCCGGAUUCACUGGGUUUAAAGGGUGCGUAGGUGGGCAGGUAAGUCAGUGGUGAAAUCCUGUAGCUUAACUACAGAACUGCCAUUGAUACUAUUUGUCUUGGAUACCCUGGAGGUGAGCGGAAUAUGUCAUGUAGCGGUGAAAUGCUUAGAUAUGACAUAGAACAUCUAUUGCGAAGGCAGCUCACUACGGGAAUAUUGACGCUGAGGCACGAAAGCGUGGGGAUCAAACAGG
rnacentral:rRNA from 1 species